GAUGAACGCUGGCGGCGUGCCUAAUACAUGCAAGUCGAGCGAACGGACGAGAAGCUUGCUUCUCUGAUGUUAGCGGCGGACGGGUGAGUAACACGUGGAUAACUUACCUAUAAGACUGGGAUAACUUCGGGAAACCGGAGCUAAUACCGGAUAAUAUUUUGAACCGCAUGGUUCAAAAGUGAAAGACGGUCUUGCUGUCACUUAUAGAUGGAUCCGCGCUGCAUUAGCUAGUUGGUAAGGUAACGGCUUACCAAGGCAACGAUGCAUGGCCGACCUGAGAGGGUGAUCGGCCACACUGGAACUGAGACACGGUCCAGACUCCUACGGGAGGCAGCAGUAGGGAAUCUUCCGCAAUGGGCGAAAGCCUGACGGAGCAACGCCGCGUGAGUGAUGAAGGUCUUCGGAUCGUAAAACUCUGUUAUUAGGGAAGAACAUAUGUGUAAGUAACUGUGCACAUCUUGACGGUACCUAAUCAGAAAGCCACGGCUAACCACGUG
rnacentral:rRNA from 1 species